UUUAUCCUGCGUUACUAUUACGUUUUUACCCCCUUUAAAUCCUUUGACUACUAAACAAAUAUGGGUUUUUGGUCUUUAAAUUGUGAGUUACUGUACUGCCCUCAUCCCUGCAAUUUCGGCUUCUUUCCUCAUAGAACCCUCGGCGUUUAAAUCCUAUGAAAAGAUCGCUGAUAUCUGCGACAACCUCUUGCUUCAGGCAAUUUUUCUUCUUGAGUUCCUGUACUUGUCCUUGCUUUGGGUAUUUUUCUUCUUCUUCUUCUUCUUAGAUAAACACCAAGAUCGUUCACGUCCUCAAGAUCGGCCCCGAAAAGCCCGACGAGCAGUUCGAGAGGUUUCGGGAGGCUGCGGCAGAGGGCGUUACUUAUGAGGAUCAAUGGCCCUACGCCAUUCAUCUUCUGGGCCAUAUUUAUGAUGAUGAUAU